GGUCAGAUAGCUUAAUUGGUAAAGACCCAGGCUGUUAUCAUUCGAUUGCUCAUGGGUGGUUUCGAUUUCGAAUCCCGAUCUGACCU
rnacentral:tRNA from 1 species